rnacentral:rRNA from 1 species
AGGACGAACGCUGGCGGCGUGCUUAACACAUGCAAGUCGAACGGUAAGGCCCCUUCGGGGGUACACGAGUGGCGAACGGGUGAGUAACACGUGGGUAAUCUGCCCUGCACUUCGGGAUAAGCCUGGGAAACUGGGUCUAAUACCGGAUAUGAGCUCCUGCCGCAUGGUGGGGGUUGGAAAGUUUUUCGGUGCAGGAUGAGUCCGCGGCCUAUCAGCUUGUUGGUGGGGUAAUGGCCUACCAAGGCGACGACGGGUAGCCGGCCUGAGAGGGGUGAGUCGGA